UACGUAGGGGGCAAGCGUUGUCCGGAAUCAUUGGGCGUAAAGCGCGCGUAGGUGGCCAUUUAAGUCCGCUGUGAAAGUCAAAGGCUCAACCUUUGAAAGCCGGUGGAUACUGGGUGGCUAGAGUACGGAAGAGGCGAGUGGAAUUCCUGGUGUAGCGGUGGAAUGCGCAGAUAUCAGGAGGAACACCAAUAGCGAAGGCAGCUCGCUGGGACGUUACUGACACUGAGGCGCGAAAGCGUGGGGAGCGAACAGG
rnacentral:rRNA from 1 species